GUCCCAGCCUGCUUCCCCGCCGGCCGCCGCCCUCCCUCCUCCCCGGGAGAGAGCUAGGCGCGCGGGUCCCUCUGCGCCACCCCCGCCCCCGCCCCUUCCGAGCAAACUUUUGGCACCCGCCUCAGCCCAGCGCGCGUUCGUGCUCCGCAGGGCGCGCCUCUCUCCGCCAAUGCCAGGCGCGCGGGGGAGCCAUUAGGAGGCGAGGAGAGAGGAGGGCGCAGCUCCCGCCCAGCCCAGCCCUGCCCAGCCCUGCCCGGAGGCAGACGCGCCGGAACCGGGACGCGAUAAAUAUGCAGAGCGGAGGCUUAGCGCAGCAGAGCCCGCGCGCCGCCCGCUCCGGGUGCUGAAUCCAGGCGCGGGGACACGAGCCAGGCGCCGCCGCCGGAGCCCGCGGAGCCGGGGCCAGAGCCGGAGCGCGUCCGCGUCCACGCAGCCGCCGGCCGGCCAGCACCCAGGGCCCUGCAUGCCAGGUCGUUGGAGGUGGCAGCCAGACAUGCACCCGGCCCGGAAGCUCCUCAGCCUCCUCUUCCUCAUCCUGAUGGGCACUGAACUCACUCAAAAUAAAAGAGGAAACAAAGGAGAGAAGAUGGGAGGGCCAGAGAGCGAGAGGAAGACCACAGGAGAGAAGAUGCUGAAUGAGGUUCCCUUGUUUUGCCUGGAAGCCCUCACUGGCUCCCUGGCUCUGCCCAGAACGUGCAGUCCAAAUCCCAAUCCAGCAGCGGGGUUACGUCGUCCCGUUUACCCUCAGAGUCCCUCUCCUGGUGCUGCCCAGACGAUCGGCCGGUCCCCCGGGAGAGAGGUUCGGUGUGGCCUCUAGGAGAGAAGUUUUCUUGGCCACAGGAAGGCCUGGCGGAGGGGUGGUGGUUGUCCACUGUGGCUGGACAGAUGCAUUCAUUCACGUGCACACACACGCACACACACACGCCCACACAGGGGAGCAGAUACCUGCAGAGAAGAGCAACCAGGUCCCGAUGAGUGGCGAGCUGCCCUACAAAGAGCUGUGCUUGUGUCUUAUCAAGACACCUUGGCAAAGAGAUGGCUGGUUCUGGGUGGUCCUGGACAAGGCCGCACCCAAGGGCCCUCCAAGCCUUAAUGGCACCCUUAAGCCUCCAUGCCCAGGCCAAAAGAUGCUUUUUCUCCGUAAGUUCUCCUCUUUGUGUCUUUGUAAAGAUUCUCUGUUCUGGGGAGAAACUUUUGGUUCAACUUCAAUUAGAAGCUUUAUCUCAGUGGGGAAAGUAUUUGUCCAUCCACGCAAAGGGUCCUGGACAUCCGAACCCCAGCCAGCCCCUGUGCACACCCCUGUAUCCUCAGAUCUUGGUGUCAGGGCCCAGCCAGCCACCUUCAGGACCCUGGUCAGCUCCGCAAGCCAGCAGCCUCCCAGGUCAGGAAGGGAAACGCCAGGAAGGGAAACGCCGUUGUUUUCUUUGCUGGCCUGGCAGGUUCCUUUCUCUGAAGCUGAGCCACAGGCUGUCUCAGGGGAAUGUGUCCCUCGACUCAGCCAGGAGGCACGUCCCACCCUCACGGUACAGCUCUACCUUCCCUGGGCUGGCUUCUGAUAAUUGUGCUUUUGGAAUCUUGCAUUGGAGGCCAAUUAUCCCUAAUGUGGUGGGAUUUUGGAGAAAAGGCUCAGCAGGUGAAAUCAUGUUGAGUCUCUGAAGGGGGUGGACAGUGGCUGGCUCAGCACCAGCACCUGAGAGCCUGGCUACCCUGGUCCCCACCUGGGGAUUAUGCCAGGUGACUUUCAUCUUUGACCUCCAAGAAGGUGGCACCUGGGGUCGGGAGUGGGUAUGGGUGCAGGACCAGCCUGCUCUGAUUCCAAGAGCCACCUGGGGAUAUCCAUCCCCGAGCAUCUUACUUUCUUGAUUCCAAAGUUAUGCAUUGUGGGUUCCUUGAGCAAUGCUGUUGACAUUUGUGAGUGAGUGAAGAAACGAGUCUGGGCUUCAGGAAAGGGUGCUGGAGCUACCUGGUGUCUGCCUCCUGCUUCCACUGUAGGUAAAUUGCUCCUCACAGCCACAUCCUUGCUUUUAACUCCGCCCAAGGGAUGGACAUGCGAUCCUAGGGCUACUGUGUUUCUAAAUGAGCAUACGUCGACAUGAGAAAAUGUCAGAAAUGCCUGGAUCCUACCUGCACUUAAUACAUGCUGCCUGGAGGAUUCAGGCGGGCAGGCAGGGGGAGUGGAGCACAUGGCCGGGCCAUCUGUUCUCCCGACAGCUUGCUUACGAUGAGACACUCCAUCAAACGCCAACCGUUGAUGGAUGGCCUACGACACGCAAGGGCUGUGGGGCCAGGUGAACUUUGUCCUCAGACAGAAAGACAUUUUACAUGGUCUUGCUCUGUGGUUUUCAAUAAAAGGCUGGUAUUUCAUGCUCUUAAA